rnacentral:lncRNA from 1 species
CCUCACAUUGCAUUUUAAAAUAAAUAUAAUUAAAAAGUUUAUAAAACAAAUGCCAAACAAAUUCAAUCUUUUGGGAUCACUAAAUUCACAUAUUAAACCCUAAUUGUGUGGACCAUUUCAGCAAAACUCAUAAAUGUCUAUAGCUGUAUGUCACCAAAGCUUGCCCCUUCUAAAGUAAUCCCAUCAUAUAAAAAACAGAAGGUUAAAGCUUUAAACAUGAAUAUAAUUUGAAAAGAAGAAGUAAUUAAUUGAGCUAAUAAAGCAAAAGCAAGAAAUAGAAGACGCUUAGAAAAAGUGGGAAUUCUAUUAGAAAACCAAAAAUCUAUCUGUACAAAAGAUUAAUUAAUUAACAUCAUUAGAUCACCUAUAGUUUCUAAUCUAUCUCUCUCUCUCUUUCUGGAGACUCUGAUAAGAUAAAAUUAACUGGGAACUCCACCAGCCCUUCUGCUGCGAAGAGAGAAGAUAGAAGCAAGAGAGUGAGCCAGACCCAAUACUAUUGCCACCUUCACUUGACCUCUCUUGGGUAUCAAACGGCCAGAAUAAACCCUCUGUGACUCUGAAUAAUUUCCACCUUUGAUCAUACUCCUCUUAGCACCACCUGAUGCCAUUUUCUUUCUCUUCGGAGACUGCAAAGCUUAAGAGAUAAAACGCUGCUGCUGUCUUGCUGGAUGGCGAUGUCUGAUUGAGGCGUUGUUAUAUACAGAGGAGGUGGCUUUGCUGAAGCUUUGUCCUUUACUUUGUUGACGAUAUUGACCUUGCAUGAGGGAUAUAAUUGUAGACAAGUGAGGGGUGAUAUAGGUAUUUCGUAGACUAAAAAGAUAAAGCAGAAAGAAGAUGGUAGAUCAUGCUUUAUAAAAGUUGAUAAAGCUAAGGAAAGUAGCUUGCUUCGGUAAUUCCCACAACCGAUUGCACAGAAAAUGCUGCAACACUUGGGAUUUGCAUGUGGUUCACGUGGGCAUUUGGGUUUUGCAUUGGUUAGAGCAGCAGCCACAAGCUUAGCAUGGGCAAGAUUGUCACCGUCUAAUCCUAUCCUUAUCUAGUUAUAUUGUCCCAUGAUGGAGCAGCUCAUGAACUGGCCCACCCCAGCCAGAGCCGGUUCUGACUCAGGUCGAGCCCGAGAGCAUUGUUGUGAGUGGCAUGUCAAGGGAGGCCAUCGUGGGGUCUGGGAAGUGGGAAGUGCUCCGAACGUUGAAUCAGGACAUUUUUCUCUUUUGGAGAUUCCACUAAGCAUUUAAAGCAUCUAAUAAUUGCAAUUGCUUUCUUCAAUUAAGGUCCCAUUGUUUUAAAUUUGAAAUUCAUUUUUCUCCACUAACUGAGAUUGAUCGUUGGCCAUUAGAAAAUGGCUAACUCAAGCAGUCAAUUUCUUGCUACAGAAACAGGAG